CCCCUAUGUACAGAUUUUAAUAAUUACAAAACAACUUUCUUCUAAUGAUAUUGGGCUAGGGACCUACUAGAAACCUUUACAGGCUUUUUGGUUUAGGCCCCUAGUUGUAGUUGUGGUUCAUAAUGAGGUUAAUUAAUAUAUUUACAGUUAAAGAUAAUGAAAAAAGUAAUUUUUAGAAUAUAUGCUAUUUACAAAACCCCCCAAAAUACGAAUCAUCUGGAUUGGCAGGGCAAUCAAAGAUUGUAAAUGAGUUAUCAAGUAACUUACAAGGUUUUCAGAUGAAAUUUAUGGAAUUCAUAGACCUGAAUUUUAUAGAUAUUGGUCCAAGAGGGUUUCACUCAUGUUUUAACGGAAUUUAUA